rnacentral:rRNA from 1 species
CCGGUGUAGCGGUGGAAUGCGUAGAUAUCGGGAGGAAACACCAGUGGCGAAGGCGGCCUUACUGGGCAUCAACUGACGCUGAGGCUCGAAAGCAUGGGUAGCAAACAGGAUUAGAUACCCUGGUAGUCCAUGCUGUAAACGAUGAUUACUAGGUGUGGGAAGAUUGACCCUUUCCGUGCCGCAGUUAACACAAUAAGUAAUCCACCUGGGGAGUACGACCGCAAGGUUGAAACUCAAAGGAAUUGACGGGGGCCCGCACAAGCAGUGGAGUAUGUGGUUUAAUUCGAAGCAACGCGAAGAACCUUACCAGGUCUUGACAUCCAACGACCGCCUAAGAGAUUAGGCUUUCCUUCGGGACGUUGAGACAGGUGGUGCAUGGUUGUCGUCAGCUCGUGUCGUGAGAUGUUGGGUUAAGUCCCGCAACGAGCGCAACCCUUAUUACUAGUUACUACGCAAGAGGACUCUAGUGAGACUGCCGUUGACAAAACGGAGGAAGGUGGGGAUGACGUCAAAUCAUCAUGCCCUUUAUGACCUGGGCUACACACGUACUACAAUGGCUAUUAACAGAGAGAAGCGAGACCGCAAGGUGGAGCAAACCUCAGAAAAAUAGUCUCAGUCCGGAUUGGGGGCUGCAACCCGCCCCCAUGAAGCCGGAAUUGCUAGUAAUCGCGGAUCAGCAUGCCGCGGUGAAUACGUUCCCGGGCCUUGUACACACCGCCCGUCACACCAUGAGAGCCGGGGGGACCCGAAGUCGGUAGUCUAACCGCAAGGAGGACGCCGCCGAAGGUAAAACUGGUGAUUGGGGUGAAGUCGUAACAAGGUAACCGUAAAGGGCGAAUUCGGAGCCUGC